UCGCAUAAGUGUGAAUUGCCACAAGUGGGAGCUGGUAUAAGCGUGAAGCAAUCGCAAAAACUGGCAAAAACGCAAACAACAUAAAUGCGAAAUUUAGCAUGAGUGCAAACUGGCAUAACUGCAAACUAGCAUAAGGGCGAAAUGCCAAUUAGCACUUAGGCCAAUGUUUGCAAAUUUAUUACAUGCACUUAUGUCAGUUCGCACUUCUGCCAGCUUUUGUAACUGUUUUGUACUUAAUCAAAUUUUGCACUAAUGCCUAUUCGUAAUGUUUGCAAACCUGUUUGGGGCACUAAUGCUAAUUUACACUUUUUCCAGUUUGCAAGUUUAAAGCUAUAGAUUAUCCUAUAGCUUUAAACUUUAGUCUAGAUAAUUCUUUUAACCCAGACAAUAUUUAUAUAUAUGACUACACUAAUGGUUAGAGUACACUAAUGAUCUGGACUACAUUAAUGUUUUAUGACAAAUUCACUCACGGCCAAAUUUAAUAUGGCAGCUGGAAAAGGCAAAGGAUCUUUUUAGUAUAACCAAGCUAUACAACUUAAUAAAAGUUUUAUGACAAGUUCACUCAUGGCCAAAUUUAAUAUGGCAGUUGGAAAAGACAAAAGAAUUUUUUUAGUCUAACCAAGCUAUACAACUUAAUAAAAGUUUGUGCAUCGACUGCUCACGAAUCAUACACAGAGUCGAUUGUCGAUGCAAUAAAUACUGAAUGGUUAAAGCGGGCAACUUUUUGCUCGUGUUAAAGUGCCUUUAAUCCAACAGAAAAGUAAAUUGCUGAUUUAAUACAGUAUUAUUGUGCUAAUUGGUCAUAUGGUUCAUUGUUAUCAAAGUUACACAUGUUAGAAGAUCAUGCUUUUUGAUUUU
rnacentral:lncRNA from 1 species